rnacentral:rRNA from 1 species
UACGUAGGGACCGAGCGUUGUCCGGAAUCAUUGGGCGUAAAGAGCGUGUAGGCGGCUAUUUAAGUCCUGCGUGAAAUCCUGCGGCUCAACCGCAGACGGUCGUGGGAAACUGGAUGGCUAGAGUGCGGGAGAGGAGAGUGGAAUUCCCGGUGUAGCGGUGAAAUGCGCAGAUAUCGGGAAGAACACCCGUGGCGAAGGCGGCUCUCUGGAACGCAACUGACGCUGAGACGCGAAAGCGUGGGGAUCAAACAGG